GUCUAUGCCCAUACCACCCUGAACAUACUUGAUCUCUCAUCUGAGCUCAGAAGCUAAGCAGGGUUAGGCCUGGUUAGUAAUUGAAUAGGAGAAAACAUUUGGGGUUUUUGUAA
ensembl:rRNA 5S_rRNA 5S ribosomal RNA